GGUUAAGCGACUAAGCGUACACGGUGGAUGCCCUGGCAGUCAGAGGCGAUGAAGGACGUGCUAAUCUGCGAAAAGCGUCGGUAAGGUGAUAUGAACCGUUAUAGCCGGCGAUGUCCGAAUGGGGAAACCCAGUGCAAUUCGUUGCACUAUCGUUUGAUGAAUACAUAGUCAAACGAGGCGAACCGGGGGAACUGAAACAUCUAAGUACCCCGAGGAAAAGAAAUCAACCGAGAUUCCCCCAGUAGCGGCGAGCGAACGGGGAGCAGCCCGGAGUCUGAAUCAGCUUGUGUGUUAGUGGAAGCGUCUGGAAAGUCGCAGGGUACAGGGUGAUACUCCCGUACACUAAAACGCACAGGCUGUGAACUCGAAGAGUAGGGCGGGACACGUGGUAUCCUGUCUGAAUAUGGGGGGACCAUCCUCCAAGGCUAAAUACUCCUGACUGACCGAUAGUGAACCAGUACCGUGAGGGAAAGGCGAAAAGAACCCCGGCGAGGGGAGUGAAAAAGAACCUGAAACCGUGUACGUACAAGCAGUAGGAGCCUCUUUAUGGGGUGACUGCGUACCUUUUGUAUAAUGGGUCAGCGACUUAUAUUCUGUAGCAAGGUUAACCGUAUAGGGGAGCCGCAGGGAAACCGAGUCUUAACUGGGCGUUAAGUUGCAGGGUAUAGACCCGAAACCCGGUGAUCUAGCCAUGGGCAGGUUGAAGGUUGGGUAACACUAACUGGAGGACCGAACCGACUAAUGUUGAAAAAUUAGCGGAUGACUUGUGGCUGGGGGUGAAAGGCCAAUCAAACCGGGAGAUAGCUGGUUCUCCCCGAAAGCUAUUUAGGUAGCGCCUCGUGAACUCAUCUUCGGGGGUAGAGCACUGUUUCGGCUAGGGGGUCAUCCCGACUUACCAACCCGAUGCAAACUACGAAUACCGAAGAAUGUUAUCACGGGAGACACACGGCGGGUGCUAACGUCCGUCGUGAAGAGGGAAACAACCCAGACCGCCAGCUAAGGUCCCAAAGUCAUGGUUAAGUGGGAAACGAUGUGGGAAGGCCCAGACAGCCAGGAUGUUGGCUUAGAAGCAGCCAUCAUUUAAAGAAAGCGUAAUAGCUCACUGGUCGAGUCGGCCUGCGCGGAAGAUGUAACGGGGCUAAACCAUGCACCGAAGCUGCGGCAGCGACACUAUGUGUUGUUGGGUAGGGGAGCGUUCUGUAAGCCGUUGAAGGUGGCCUGUGAGGGUUGCUGGAGGUAUCAGAAGUGCGAAUGCUGACAUAAGUAACGAUAAUGCGGGUGAAAAACCCGCACGCCGGAAGACCAAGGGUUCCUGUCCAACGUUAAUCGGGGCAGGGUGAGUCGACCCCUAAGGCGAGGCCGAAAGGCGUAGUCGAUGGGAAACAGGUUAAUAUUCCUGUACUCGGUGUUACUGCGAAGGGGGGACGGAGAAGGCUAUGUUGGCCGGGCGACGGUUGUCCCGGUUUAAGCAUGUAGGCGGAUGUUCCAGGUAAAUCCGGAACGUUACUAACGCUGAGGUGUGAUGACGAGGCACUACGGUGCUGAAGUGACAAAUGCCCUGCUUCCAGGAAAAGCCUCUAAGCAUCAGGUAACAUCAAAUCGUACCCCAAACCGACACAGGUGGUCAGGUAGAGAAUACCAAGGCGCUUGAGAGAACUCGGGUGAAGGAACUAGGCAAAAUGGUGCCGUAACUUCGGGAGAAGGCACGCUGAUAUGUAGGUGAAGUGGUUUACCCAUGGAGCUGAAAUCAGUCGAAGAUACCAGCUGGCUGCAACUGUUUAUUAAAAACACAGCACUGUGCAAACACGAAAGUGGACGUAUACGGUGUGACGCCUGCCCGGUGCCGGAAGGUUAAUUGAUGGGGUUAUCCGUAAGGAGAAGCUCUUGAUCGAAGCCCCGGUAAACGGCGGCCGUAACUAUAACGGUCCUAAGGUAGCGAAAUUCCUUGUCGGGUAAGUUCCGACCUGCACGAAUGGCGUAAUGAUGGCCAGGCUGUCUCCACCCGAGACUCAGUGAAAUUGAACUCGCUGUGAAGAUGCAGUGUACCCGCGGCAAGACGGAAAGACCCCGUGAACCUUUACUAUAGCUUGACACUGAACACUGGUCCUUGAUGUGUAGGAUAGGUGGGAGGCUUUGAAGUGUGGACGCCAGUCUGCAUGGAGCCAUCCUUGAAAUACCACCCUUUAAUGGCUGGUGUUCUAACGUGGGCCCGUUAUCCGGGUUGCGGACAGUGUCUGGUGGGUAGUUUGACUGGGGCGGUCUCCUCCUAAAGAGUAACGGAGGAGCACGAAGGUCAGCUAAUCCUGGUCGGACAUCAGGAGGUUAGUGCAAUGGCAUAAGCUGGCUUGACUGCGAGCGUGACGGCGCGAGCAGGUGCGAAAGCAGGUCAUAGUGAUCCGGUGGUUCUGAAUGGAAGGGCCAUCGCUCAACGGAUAAAAGGUACUCCGGGGAUAACAGGCUGAUACCGCCCAAGAGUUCAUAUCGACGGCGGUGUUUGGCACCUCGAUGUCGGCUCAUCACAUCCUGGGGCUGAAGUAGGUCCCAAGGGUAUGGCUGUUCGCCAUUUAAAGUGGUACGCGAGCUGGGUUUAGAACGUCGUGAGACAGUUCGGUCCCUAUCUGCCGUGGGCGCUGGAGAAUUGAGGGGGGCUGCUCCUAGUACGAGAGGACCGGAGUGGACGCAUCACUGGUGUUCGGGUUGUCAUGCCAAUGGCAUUGCCCGGUAGCUAAAUGCGGAAGAGAUAAGUGCUGAAAGCAUCUAAGCACGAAACUUGCCCCGAGAUGAGUUCUCCCUGACUCCUUGAGAGUCCUGAAGGAACGUUGAAGACGACGACGUUGAUAGGCCGGGUGUGUAAGCGCAGCGAUGCGUUGAGCUAACCGGUACUAAUGAACCGUGAGGCUUAACCUU
rnacentral:rRNA from 1 species